GACCCCGCUGCAACGAAGACUGCAGCAUCCGACAUGGGCGAAUUAUAUAAAUUUAUAUGCCUACUUUUUUCUUUUUUUUUUUUUUUUACAGUUUUUUUCCUCCCGCGUCUCCUACUCGGAGAAAUGUCCAUCGAUUUAAAUAAUUCGAACAAUGGAUCGUGCGCGUACAACACACACUCCGUACGUUUAUAUUGUUAUUACGUAACAUAAAAAUGUAUAUUAACAGUUUAAUCGAUUAUAUGCCAGUGUUAUGAUACUGAGAAUUUGUACUGACACAUUACGAUUCGCUUUUAUUAUUUCUUCAAUCCCGAGGAAGAAAUCAAUUUUCUUUAAUUUUUUUUUUUUUUUAUAAUUAUAUGACUCAAGGCAUUUACAACGGUUAUUUAACAAUUUUAGCAGUUCUGCCGUUGUGCCGUUUACCAAUUUUCAACAUUUAAUUUAUUUUGUUUAUUUUAUUUUUAAAAUUGACUUAUGCCUUUUUUCCUCGAGACCAACGAUUUAGAUUCACGGUAUUUUCUCGCGCGUUCUAUUGCGUUAUUGCAGUUAUUAUUUUUAUUUUUUUGUUUUGUUAUGUUUUUGGUUAUAUUAACAUUUAAAAACGUACCUACGUGCAAAAAUAAUGG